UGUGAGGACAGAGCCUUCCUGCUAUUGGGAGGAUGCAGCAACAAGGUGUCAUCUUGGAAGCAGGGAUCAGCCCUCACCAGAAAACCAAAUCUGCCACCACCUUGAACUUAGACUUCCCAGCCUUGAGAACUAACACUACAUUGGGAAGGAUUCAUCAUCAUGACCAGAUGUCACAUGGGUCUAUGAUGCCAAAAAAGGAAGAUCCCUGGAGAACAGUUCACUCUGUCUAUGAUCUUUACCAUAGACUAUGGGGCAAGGACAGAAGCAAGAAGACCAAGUAGAAGUUUAUUAUAGUCCGGGCGCGAUGGCUGACGCCUGUAAUCCCAGCACUUUGGGAGGCAGAGGCGGGCGGAUCACGAGGUCAGGA
rnacentral:lncRNA from 1 species